UACAGAGGUCCCAAGCGUUUGUUCGGAUUCACUGGGCGUAAAGGGUGCGUAGGCGGGUCUUUAAGUCAGGGGUGAAAUCCUGGAGCUCAACUCCAGAACUGCCUUUGAUACUGAAGAUCUUGAGUUCGGGAGAGGUGAGUGGAACUGCGAGUGUAGAGGUGAAAUUCGUAGAUAUUCGCAAGAACACCAGUGGCGAAGGCGGCUCACUGGCCCGAUACUGACGCUGAGGCACGGAAAGCGUGGGGAGCAAACAGG
rnacentral:rRNA from 1 species